GCGGCAACAGCUCAAAUUUGAAAUCUGGUCCCCUUGCGGGGCCCGAGUUGUAAUUUGAAGAGGAUGCUUCUGGCAAGGUGCCUUCCGAGUUCCCUGGAACGGGACGCCGCAGAGGGUGAGAGCCCCGUACGGUAGGACGCCGAGCCUCUGUGAAGCUCCUUCGACGAGUCGAGUAGUUUGGGAAUGCUGCUCAAAAUGGGAGGUAAACCCCUUCUAAAGCUAAAUACCGGCCAGAGACCGAUAGCGCACAAGUAGAGUGAUCGAAAGAUGAAAAGCACUUUGAAAAGAGAGUUAAAAAGCACGUGAAAUUGUUGAAAGGGAAGCGCUUGCGACCAGACUCGCGCCCGUCGGAUCAGCCGUCGCUUGUCGGCGGCGCACUCCGGCGGGCUCGGGCCAGCAUCAGUUCGCCUCGGGGGGAGAAAGGCGGCAGGAAUGUGGCUCCUCGGAGUGUUAUAGCCUGCCGUGUAAUACCCCCGGGCGGACUGAGGACCGCGCGUAUGCAAGGAUGCUGGCGUAAUGGUCGUCAGCGACCCGUCUUGAAACACGGAC
rnacentral:rRNA from 1 species